AAAUAAGAAACAAUAAUUUGUAUUUAGUUUCGACCUAAAAGUUAGGUGUUAUUCACCCUUAUUUA
rnacentral:tRNA from 1 species